CCCUUAGAUGUCCUGGGCCGCACGCGCGUUACACUGAUGCAUUCAACGAGCUUAUAACCUUGGCCGAGAGGCCUGGGCAAUCUUGUUAACGUGCAUCGUGAUAGGGAUAGAUUAUUGAAAUUAUUAAUCUUGAACGAGGAAUUCCUAGUAAACGCAGAUCAUCAAUCUGCAUUGAUUACGUCCCUGCCCUUUGUACACACCGCCCGUCGCACCUACCGAUUGGAUGGUCCGGUGAAGCCUCGGGAUUGUGGUUAGUUUCCUUCAUUGGAAGUUAGCCGCGAGAACUUGUCUAAACCUUAUCAUUUAGAGGAAGGUGAAGUCGUAACA
rnacentral:rRNA from 1 species